UACGUAGGGGGCAAGCGUUGUCCGGAGUUUAUUGGGCGUAAAAGGCUUGUAGGUGGCCAUCGCCAAGUCGGAUGUGAAAUCCCUCGGCCUAACCGAGGAACUGCGUCCGAUACUGCGAUGCUUGAGGACCAGAGGGUGCAUGGAAGUUCGGUGGAGCGGUGAAAUGCGUUGAUAUCGGAAGGAAACUCCGGCGGCGAAGCGAUGCACUGGCUGGUUUCUGACGCUG
rnacentral:rRNA from 1 species